rnacentral:rRNA from 1 species
GCCUGUCUCAGUUCGGAUUGGAGUCUGCAACCCGACUCCAUGAAGCUGGAUUCGCUAGUAAUCGCGCAUCAGCCACGGCGCGGUGAAUACGUUCCCGGGGCCUUGUACACACCGCCCGUCAAGCCAUGGAAGCCGGGGGUGCCUGAAGUGCGCUGCCGCAAGGAGCGUCCUAGGGUAAAACCGGUGACUGGGGCUAAGUCGUAACAAGGUACC